rnacentral:rRNA from 1 species
GUCGUAACAAGGUUUCCGUAGGUGAACCUGCGGAAGGAUCAUUACCAAACGAUUCUUUGGAUUCAAUUAGUAGCUUUUUGAUGCGGUGCAAGCCAAAUCGAGAAGUAGUUGGUUGACCGUAAUUAGGAGAAAUCCUUCCAGCUGCACUGAUUGGAUUCAGAGUUCAAUCAACCCCCUGUGAACUAUAAACCCGUACUGUUAUUGUCUUUUGGGUGGUACUGAAGCUGUUUACAGUCGAUGUGCUGCCCAGAAGCGAUAGCGCUUUAUUGAACUACUAAACGAAUUAUAUCUAUACGCAAAAUCUCUUUAUUAUUUAAUAAUAAUAAUUGACAACUUUUAACAGUGGAUCUCUAGGCUCGUGGAUCGAUGAAGAGCGCAGCAAAAUGCGAUACGUAAUGUGAAUUGCAGAAUUCAGUGAAUCAUCGAAUCCUUGAACGCAAAUUGCGGUGUUGGGUAUUCCCGGCACCAUGCUUGGUUGAGUGUCACUUAAUCUAACAAAAUUCAAUUUAUUUUGGGUAUUGUUACAGAUGAGGUUACGAGGCGUCUAUUUAAUAGAACUUCGAACCUUUAAUGACUAGCAAGACGCAUGACUUUUGAAGUUCAUUGCAGCUACUUGUGUGGCAAUAUUGUUUCGACAAUUUAAAGCGCAUGUUGGCUCAGUGGAUGUUAAUUCUUUAAUCAUUGCUGUUCUUACAAAUCUGACUCUAUAUGUCUUCGGACUUAGAAUUUUGACCUCAGCUCAAGCAAGACUACCCGCUGAAUUUAAGCAUAUUAAUAAGCGGAGGAAAAGAAACUAACUAGGAUUCCCUCAGUAACGGCGAGUGAAGCGGGAAAAGCUCAAAUUUUAAAGCUACGUGUUUUGCACGUCGCGUUGUAAAUUCAAGAAACGUUUUCUCUUAUAGGUCUGA